AGUGAGGAAGGGGGUGACACAGUGACAGAGUGAGGGAGGGGGUGACUAGUGACAGAGUGAAGGAGGUGGUGACUGUCACUAGUCACCCCCUUCCCUCCCUCACUCUGUCACUAGUCACCCCUUCCUCACUAGUCACCCCUUCCCUCCCUAACUCUGUCACUAGUCACCACUUCCCUCCCUCACUCUGUCACUAGUCACCCCCUCCCUCAUU